CCUACGGGAGGCAGCAGUGGGGAAUAUUGGGCAAUGGGCGCAAGCCUGACCCAGCAACGCCGCGUGAAGGAAGCAGGCUUUCGGGUUGUAAACUUCUUUUAAGAGGGAAGAGCAGAAGACGGUACCUCUUGAAUAAGCCACGGCUAACUACGUGCCAGCAGCCGCGGUAAUACGUAGGUGGCAAGCGUUGUCCGGAUUUACUGGGUGUAAAGGGCGUGUAGCCGGGCUGACAAGUCAGAUGUGAAAUUCCGGGGCUCAACCCCGGACCUGAAGUGGAAACUGUUGGUCUUGAGUAUCGGAGAGGCAGGGGGAAGUCCUGGUGGAGCGGUGAAAUGCGUAGAUAUGAGGAGGGACACCAGUGGCGAAGGCGGCCGGCUGGACGACAACUGACGGUGAGGCGCGAAAGCGUGGGGAGCAAACAGGAUUAGAGACCCCGGUAGUC
rnacentral:rRNA from 1 species